rnacentral:rRNA from 1 species
AUGCCGGAUGCUCCGGUUGGAUGCAUGUCCUUCCGGGAAAGAUUCUAUCGGUAUGGGAUGGGGUCGCGUCCUAUCAGCUUGAUGGCGGGGUAACGGCCCACCAUGGCUUCGACGGGUAGCCGGCCUGAGAGGGCGACCGGCCACAUUGGGACUGAGAUACGGCCCAGACUCCUACGGGAGGCAGCAGUGGGGAAUAUUGCACAAUGGGCGCAAGCCUGAUGCAGCGACGCCGCGUGCGGGAUGGAGGCCUUCGGGUUGUAAACCGCUUUUGAUCGGGAGCAAGCCCUUCGGGGUGAGUGUACCUUUCGAAUAAGCACCGGCUAACUACGUGCCAGCAGCCGCGGUAAUACGUAGGGUGCAAGCGUUAUCCGGAAUUAUUGGGCGUAAAGGGCUCGUAGGCGGUUCGUCGCGUCCGGUGUGAAAGCCCAUCGCUUAACGGUGGGUCUGCGCCGGGUACGGGCGGGCUGGAGUGCGGUAGGGGAGACUGGAAUUCCCGGUGUAACGGUGGAAUGUGUAGAUAUC